rnacentral:rRNA from 1 species
UAGGGAAUCUUCGGCAAUGGGGGGAACCCUGACCGAGCAACGCCGCGUGAGUGAAGAAGGUUUUCGGAUCGUAAAGCUCUGUUUGUUAAGGAAGAACGAGUGUGAGAAUGGAAAGUUCAUACUGUGACGGUACUUAACCAGAAAGGGACGGCUAACUACGUGCCAGCAGCCGCGGUAAUACGUAGGUCCCGAGCGUUGUCCGGAUUUAUUGGGCGUAAAGCGAGCGCAGGCGGUUAGAUAAGUCUGAAGUUAAAGGCAGUGGCUCAACCAUUGUAGGCUUUGGAAACUGUUUAACUUGAGUGCAGAAGGGGAGAGUGGAAUUCCAUGUGUAGCGGUGAAAUGCGUAGAUAUAUGGAGGAACACCGGUGGCGAAAGCGGCUCUCUGGUCUGUAACUGACGCUGAGGCUCGAAAGCGUGGGGAGCGAACAGGAUUAGAUACCCUGGUAGUCCACGCCGUAAACGAUGAGUGCUAGGUGUUAGGUCCUUUCCGGGACUUAGUGCCGCAGCUAACGCAUUAAGCACUCCGCCUGGGGAGUACGACCGCAAGGUUG